rnacentral:rRNA from 1 species
CGGGACACGUGGUAUCCUGUCUGAAUAUGGGGGGACCAUCCUCCAAGGCUAAAUACUCCUGACUGACCGAUAGUGAACCAGUACCGUGAGGGAAAGGCGAAAAGAACCCCGGCGAGGGGAGUGAAAAAGAACCUGAAACCGUGUACGUACAAGCAGUGGGAGCACAGAGCAAUCUGUGUGACUGCGUACCUUUUGUAUAAUGGGUCAGCGACUUAUAUUCUGUAGCAAGGUUAACCGAAUAGGGGAGCCGAAGGGAAACCGAGUCUUAACUGGGCGUUAAGUUGCAGGGUAUAGACCCGAAACCCGGUGAUCUAGCCAUGGGCAGGUUGAAGGUUGGGUAACACUAACUGGAGGACCGAACCGACUAAUGUUGAAAAAUUAGCGGAUGACUUGUGGCUGGGGGUGAAAGGCCAAUCAAACCGGGAGAUAGCUGGUUCUCCCCGAAAGCUAUUUAGGUAGCGCCUCGUGAAUUCAUCUCCGGGGGUAGAGCACUGUUUCGGCAAGGGGGUCAUCCCGACUUACCAACCCGAUGCAAACUGCGAAUACCGGAGAAUGUUAUCACGGGAGACACACGGCGGGUGCUAACGUCCGUCGUGAAGAGGGAAACAACCCAGACCGCCAGCUAAGGUCCCAAAGUCAUGGUUAAGUGGGAAACGAUGUGGGAAGGCCCAGACAGCCAGGAUGUUGGCUUAGAAGCAGCCAUCAUUUAAAGAAAGCGUAAUAGCUCACUGGUCGAGUCGGCCUGCGCGGAAGAUGUAACGGGGCUAAACCAUGCACCGAAGCUGCGGCAGCGACGCUUAUGCGUUGUUGGGUAGGGGAGCGUUCUGUAAGCCUGUGAAGGUGUGCUGUGAGGCAUGCUGGAGGUAUCAGAAGUGCGAAUGCUGACAUAAGUAACGAUAAAGCGGGUGAAAAGCCCGCUCGCCGGAAGACCAAGGGUUCCUGUCCAACGUUAAUCGGGGCAGGGUGAGUCGACCCCUAAGGCGAGGCCGAAAGGCGUAGUCGAUGGGAAACAGGUUAAUAUUCCUGUACUUGGUGUUACUGCGAAGGGGGGACGGAGAAGGCUAUGUUGGCCGGGCGACGGUUGUCCCGGUUUAAGCGUGUAGGCUGGUUUUCCAGGCAAAUCCGGAAAAUCAAGGCUGAGGCGUGAUGACGAGGCACUACGGUGCUGAAGCAACAAAUGCCCUGCUUCCAGGAAAAGCCUCUAAGCAUCAGGUAACAUCAAAUCGUACCCCAAACCGACACAGGUGGUCAGGUAGAGAAUACCAAGGCGCUUGAGAGAACUCGGGUGAAGGAACUAGGCAAAAUGGUGCCGUAACUUCGGGAGAAGGCACGCUGAUAUGUAGGUGAAGCGACUUGCUCGUGGAGCUGAAAUCAGUCGAAGAUACCAGCUGGCUGCAACUGUUUAUUAAAAACACAGCACUGUGCAAACACGAAAGUGGACGUAUACGGUGUGACGCCUGCCCGGUGCCGGAAGGUUAAUUGAUGGGGUCAGCGCAAGCGAAGCUCUUGAUCGAAGCCCCGGUAAACGGCGGCCGUAACUAUAACGGUCCUAAGGUAGCGAAAUUCCUUGUCGGGUAAGUUCCGACCUGCACGAAUGGCGUAAUGAUGGCCAGGCUGUCUCCACCCGAGACUCAGUGAAAUUGAACUCGCUGUGAAGAUGCAGUGUACCCGCGGCAAGACGGAAAGACCCCGUGAACCUUUACUAUAGCUUGACACUGAACAUUGAGCCUUGAUG